GGUUAAGUUAAUAAGGGCACACGGUGGAUGCCUUGGCGUUAGGAGCCGAAGAAGGACGCAGCGAACUGCGAUAAGCCUCGGGGAGUGGUAAGCACACUUUGAUCCGGGGAUUUCCGAAUGGGGGAACCCACCAUCUGUAAUGGGAUGGUAUCCUUCACUGAAUACAUAGGUGAUGAGAAGGCAGACCCGGUGAACUGAAACAUCUAAGUAGCCGGAGGAAGAGAAAACAAUAGUGAUUCCGUCAGUAGCGGCGAGCGAACGCGGAAGAGCCUAAACCGUAGGAUUUAUCCUACGGGGUUGUGGGGCGUUUCAUAUAGGAGUUACAAAAGACAGAUGUAGGUGAACAGUUUGGGAAGACUGACCAAAGAGCGUGAUAGUCGCGUAACCCAAACAUCUGUCUCUCCGAGACCAAC
rnacentral:rRNA from 1 species